rfam:Anaerobium acetethylicum strain GluBS11 genome assembly, contig: Ga0116910_1036
GUGUGCUUAGCUCAGCUGGAUAGAGCGUCUGGCUACGGACCAGAAGGUCGGGGGUUCGAAUCCUCUAGCGCACG